rnacentral:snoRNA from 1 species
AAAUCCUCGGCUACACUCUGAGAUUGACCAGACUCCACGGUGGUCUAUUUCAAUUUUGCUCGAGGAAGAAUAAAUCUCAUUGUGGCCCCUUACUCACCGCGACACUCUGGCUUAUUUUAGCCCGCUGAGUGUAGUGGUCCAUUUAUCUGGCCAACAU